rnacentral:tRNA from 1 species
UUCUUAUUAGCUUAAUGGUAGAGCAUGAUACUUCUAAUAUCAGUAUUCAAGUUCGAGUCUUGGAUAAGAAU